AUGCCUGUCUACCACCGAACAACACAAAAGGUAAUCAGAGAUGCUUAGUCAUGCCUUGAAGCUACCAAACUCACCAAAAACUUUAGGAACUGGAGAUCACCAUUUUCAACCCGAAAGCCUCGCAGAUCAAAGAUCCCAAGUAUAUUCUCUGCUCCUGGCGGAAGUCUGUUGACUGCCUUCUCAACCAAAUAGGCACAUAGCUUCUGGUUUUCAACUGGAUCCUGUGUC